UACGAAGGGGGCUAGCGUUGCUCGGAAUCACUGGGCGUAAAGGGUGCGUAGGCGGGUCUUUAAGUCAGGGGUGAAAUCCUGGAGCUCAACUCCAGAACUGCCUUCGAUACUGAGAGUCUUGAGUCCGGGAGAGGUGAGUGGAACUGCGAGUGUAGAGGUGAAAUUCGUAGAUAUUCGCAAGAACACCAGUGGCGAAGGCGGCUCACUGGCCCGGUACUGACGCUGAGGUGCGAAAGCGUGGGGAGCAAACAGG
rnacentral:rRNA from 1 species